ACCGACAUUUUACUUACUGAUGUUGGGGACAAGGACCUGAAGUCGACUUCUCGCCACCAGAACCACCAAGCUCCGGUCCACGAGUCGUCCUUCUUCCUGCCGGUGCCCCAGACAUCAGACGGUGGUAGAGGUUUGGCUCCCAUACACGACCUCCCUUGAUUUUACCUUUUGAGAGUUCCGUUUGCAAAGCCAUGACUGCACCGAGGCUCGUCAUACGUGGGCUGCUCCAGGUCCUCCUCCUGCUUGUCUUCAAGAGAGGAAGCGCACAGUACUCCAACAUUCGUCCAAUUUAUGACGAGUUUGGCUAUGAGGUGGACGGCAGCUAUGUGUUGGAGAGGAUGGCCAUGAGGUCUACCGCUCUAGGAAUAAGAGGAGUGUCCAUCUUUAACUUUACUGUCAUCCCUCGUACUGUCGAAGUCCCGGCUCCACUUCUUCCUCAAGCCUUCUACGAGCUUCAUGACCAGGAUAGUUAUCAGGAGGUAGAACACUCGGCAGCUGCUCCUCUAGCUACUAUUCUUCUCAUCAGAUCCACAAACGUCA